GACGAACGCUGGCGGCGUGCCUAAUACAUGCAAGUAGAACGCUGAAGGAGGAGCUUGCUCUUCUGGAUGAGUUGCGAACGGGUGAGUAACGCGUAGGUAACCUGCCUGGUAGCGGGGGAUAACUAUUGGAAACGAUAGCUAAUACCGCAUAACAGUAGAUGUUGCAUGACAUUUGCUUAAAAGGUGCAAUUGCACCACUACCAGAUGGACCUGCGUUGUAUUAGCUAGUUGGUGGGGUAACGGCUCACCAAGGCGACGAUACAUAGCCGACCUGAGAGGGUGAUCGGCCACACUGGGACUGAGACACGGCCCAGACUCCUACGGGAGGCAGCAGUAGGGAAUCUUCGGCAAUGGACGGAAGUCUGACCGAGCAACGCCGCGUGAGUGAAGAAGGUUUUCGGAUCGUAAAGCUCUGUUGUAAGAGAAGAGCGAGUGUGAGAGUGGAAAGUUCACACUGUGACGGUAUCUUACCAGAAAGGGACGGCUAACUACGUG
rnacentral:rRNA from 1 species